CCGACAGAGGCUCAACCCUGGGGAGGCUAUACUUUGGAAGAGGAACUCAGUUGACUGUCUGGCCUG